CACGUAGGGCGCGAGCGUUGUCCGGAAUUAUUGGGCGUAAAGAGCUCGUAGGCGGCCUGUUGCGUCCGCUGUGAAAGCCCGGGGCUUAACCCCGGGUCGGCAGUGGAUACGGGCAGGCUAGAGGUAGGUAGGGGAGAAUGGAAUUCCCGGUGUAGCGGUGAAAUGCGCAGAUAUCGGGAGGAACACCGGUGGCGAAGGCGGCCAUCUGGACGGUAACUGACGCUGAGACGCGAAAGCGUGGGGAGCAAACAGG
rnacentral:rRNA from 1 species